rnacentral:lncRNA from 1 species
CCGGCUCGCCGUCCUGCUGCGCAGGCGCACAUCCAUCCAGCCAGCCACACGUCAAUGGCGUGGUCGCCUCGCCCUGCUUCGGUACGGUGCUCUGCCUCAUCCGCGCCCGCGCGACCCGCCUCCGUCAUCGCGACUUCCGUGAUCCAUCCACCAAUGCCGAGUAUGAAGUCCAAGAGAGACCUCACUUUUGGAAAGCUGGACAUUCUUUUCCUUUGAUGAUCCUCGUAAGGCCUUGUUUGGUGCGCAGGGUUUGAGGAGGUUUGUAGGGGAUUAUCUUUGAGGGGAUCAGAAUCCCCGCGAUUCCCCGCAUGUCCAUUUGGUGGACAGGGUUUGUGGUGAGCAAACCCCUUCAAUCCUGUCUAAUCCCCUCAAUUUCUUCCUACCCACGUGGCUCAGAAACCUUGUCUCAUGGCUCAGGGAUUUGACAAUUGAGGGGAUUUGAGAGGAUUGGGUGGAAGGAAGGGAUUCACCCAAUCCUCUGAAAACCCCCCUCCACAAUCCUUC